CCCCGCAGUGGUCAGAAUAUGGAGAACUUCUCACUCCUCAGCAUCUCUGGACCUCCAAUCUCUUCCUCCGCCCUGAGUGCUUUUCCCGACAUUAUGUUCUCUCGUGCCACCAGCCUGCCAGGUAAACUUUGGUGCCACUAGGGCCACAAAGAUGUGGUUUUUUUUGAAGCUUUUAAUUGAGUACCCUACCAGAUCAUGUUACAGGACCAUGAUUUAGUGAGAAAGUCAAAUUACGCAUGGGGAGAAAAUAAUUUUUCAAAAUGCUGCAUUUGUGACUGCAGCUUGGGGGAUACCCAGCACGGAGAGAAGCUGAGGCGGAACUGCACUAUCUACCGGCCCUGGUUCUCCCCCUACAGCUACUUCGUGUGUGCAGACAAAGAGAGCCAGCUGGAGGCCUAUGACUUCCCAGAGGUGCAGCAGGAUGAGGGCAAGUGGGACAACUGCCUU
rnacentral:lncRNA from 1 species